GACGCCCGGCCGCCGAAUCCGCGCCACAGCGGAGCCGGGGACCCACCAUUUCCGGGGUGAAUCGGACGCCAGGCCCACGCCGCGCCCGUAGGGCACUUCCAAGCCCGAACCCGUCAGCUAACCCGGUAGGCGGCAUGGAAGCAAGGA
rnacentral:sRNA from 2 species